GCACUGGUUUUGUGUGCAACUCAUAUUAUGGUCAGACACCACAUUCCAUGGAUUCUGUGAGGUCUUCCAUAUCUCACUUGUUGCCAAAGGAAUCACCUCAACAAAACUCGAAACAAGAUGUCGGUAGUGUUGAAAGCCAGUCAAUUGAUCCAAUGAGUACAUCAGUCAGCAUGUAGGAAAUCUCUCCAUUAGAAAAUGGAGUUUCUGAUCUUGGUACUGAGAAUACUACAUUUCCUAUUCUAAAAGCUUACAGAGCUAUAAAGGCUGGAGAAAAGGCGUCUCAAGAAAUCCUUGACUCGUGGAAGGAAAAUGGUUUUUCUAGACAUUUCAACUUAAAAGCCAAGUAUUUGACUCACUAUUCAAAAAUCAUAAAAUUGAGGUAGCUUGGGAGUCAUAAGUUUGUAUUAGAUCAUCACUACAAUAAGAUAUAUUUAUGGAGUAGAUAUGUAUGUCAUUUAGUUAUCAUCAUACAUAAGAUAUACAUAUGUUAGUAUUCUAUAAAUAGGCUCCUCUCUCACAUGUUAAGAGAUAGGUUGAUUGUUAUUUUUCACUUGUAAUCAUUUAACUCUAAUUGAGAAAGUGAAUUGAAUAAUUGUUAUAACCAA